GGCCCAGAUCGUUUACCGUGAAAAAAUUAGAGUGUUCAAAGCAGGCAGAUCCAAUUUUCUGCCACCGAAUACAUUAGCAUGGGAUAAUGGAAUAGGACCCUGUCCUCCUAUUUUCAGUUGGUUUUGGCAGCGCGAGGACUAGGGUAAUGAUUAAUAGGGAUAGUUGGGGGCAUUAAUAUUUAAUUGUCAGAGGUGAAAUUCUUGGAUUUAUGAAAGAUUAACUUCUGCGAAAGCAUCUGCCAAGGAUGUUUUCAUUAAUCAAGAACGAAAGUUAGGGGAUCGAAGACGAUCAGAUACCGUCGUAGUCUUAACCAUAAACGAUGCCGACCAGCGAUUAGGAGACGUUGAAUACAAAACACCACCAUCGGUGCGGUCGUCCUUGGCGUCGGUUUCGGCCGGCGCGGGGGCGGCUUAGCCCGGUGGCACCGGUGAAUGACUCCCCUAGCAGCUUGUGAGA
rnacentral:rRNA from 3 species